rnacentral:other from 1 species
AGGCCCCUGCGCGGUUGGUGAUGAGCGAAACUAUUGGUGAACCAACACCUAUUUGAUGGGGGCCCGGUCCGCGCCGGGCGGAUCCAGUCGCGCCCCAGGCGCGACGAGUGAAGCCCGGCGGGCAGGCUCCCUCCUGUGGAUCACAGGUUCAAAUAGGGUUGCUCACACGGCCGAGAGCGGGGGCGCU